CGACUCGCUAUCUAAGAGCGGCAGACAGGCGCCUCAGAAAAGCUCGUGAUCGAACAGGCCUUGGCAUCUCCAGUCGAGCAUAGAACAAUUGUUCAAACCGCACAAUCCACGUUUUGUGCUAUUCUAAGAAGCACUACUGGCAACUGGCUCUCCAUCGUCUAUCUGUGGAGCCAGAUAGGAGCGUAAGCGGUGAUCCUGGACGAUUUUAGUGAGUGGUGUCAUCUGGACGGAGACACCAUGUGAGGAAGAUAGCUGCGAAGGAGACACUGUGGACUCGAAAGGCCGUUCACCCGAUAUACUAUACCUGCGGCAUGUGUACGAUGCAGCAAGGCCAUGAGCGCGAACGUGGACCAGACGUGACCAGGACGUGAUCAGGAUGGUGAAAGAGAGCAACUCGUUUGCGAAAAAAAAAAAAAAAGAAAUGAUGAUGAUGAUGAUGAUUGAAAGAAAAAAAAUGAGGAUUGUAGCCCUCAUCACGAGGGCCGGCUACCCCAGAUCACCAGAAAAAAAAAAAAAAAAAGAACCGUUAUCCUGUGUCAAUCCUCCCUUGAGUUUGUAUAUAGGUAACAUUUCCUUAAGUAUGAUGAGCAGAAGACACGAACACAACAGAAGAGAAGUGACGAACUCGAACCAUGCAACAAAAUGAGGGAGACCAUGCAGCUCGCUUGCCUCUUACUUCUUCGCUCCCUCGAGUGUUCCAGCAGCUAUCGGAUGGGCUUCAGGCUGACGAAUGAUGAUGAAAACCAUCAAAGGGAAAGUGACCAAACGUCACGAUUUAGGCGGGAUGAGUCCCGCUUUCUCUAUUAUUAGAGAGCUUUAGUAGAUCGUACGCAAAGGCGAUAACGUACGCGACGGAUAGCGUUGGUGGUUCUGCGCACUGCGCGAAGCUCUCUUUCUCUUAUGGGCGUGCGCAGAACCAUCAACGCUAUCCCUUACGUACGCAAAGGCGAUAGCGUACGAUGUACUAAAACUCUCUAUUGUUUCGUUGUCCCACCAGCGUUCAUGUGGGACGGCGUUUUGUCGGGCCUUACAGACUCGUCUCGGGACAGUGUGUCUUUUAUGGCCUGUGUCUGUUCAUACCAGCUUCCGUUCGUGCACGAAGAGAAAGAUGGACAGAAAAAACGUGUAAAUCAACAGACUAAUUCUAGGAGACCGAAAAGUGCAGAUGGGCUGUACAUUUCUAUUAAAGGGACCAUUAAA